UACGGAGGGUGCAAGCGUUAUCCGGAUUUACUGGGUUUAAAGGGUGUGUAGGCGGACUUUUAAGUCAGUGGUGAAAUCUCCGGGCUCAACCCGGAAACUGCCAUUGAUACUAUUUGUCUUGAAUGUUGUUGAGGUGGGCGGAACGGGUCAUGUAGCGGUGAAAUGCAUAGAUAUGACCCGGAACACCGAUUGCGAAGGCAGCCCACUAAGCAACGAUUGACGCUGAGGCACGAAAGCGUGGGGAUCAAACAGG
rnacentral:rRNA from 1 species